rnacentral:rRNA from 1 species
CNAGCCAUGCGCGUGUAGGAAGANUGCCCUAUGGGUUGUAAACUACUUUUAUAUGGGAAGAAUAAGGUCUACGUGUAGAUCGAUGACGGUACCAUAAGAAUAAGCACCGGCUAACUCCGUGCCAGCAGCCGCGGUAAUACGGAGGGUGCAAGCGUUAUCCGGAAUCAUUGGGUUUAAAGGGUCCGUAGGCGGGCAUAUAAGUCAGUGGUGAAAGUCUGUGGCUCAACCAUAGAAUUGCCAUUGAUACUGUAUGUCUUGAAUUAUUGUGAAGUGGUUAGAAUAUGUAGUGUAGCGGUGAAAUGCUUAGAGAUUACAUAGAAUACCGAUUGCGAAGGCAGAUCACUAACAAUAUAUUGACGCUGAUGGACGAAAGCGUAGGUAGCGAACAGGAUUAGAUAC